rnacentral:rRNA from 1 species
CCUACGGGGGGCAGCAGUGAGGAAUAUUGGUCAAUGGACGAGAGUCUGAACCAGCCAAGUAGCGUGAAGGAUGACUGCCCUAUGGGUUGUAAACUUCUUUUAUAAAGGAAUAAAACGAGGCACGUGUGCCUUUUUGCAUGUACUUUAUGAAUAAGGAUCGGCUAACUCCGUGCCAGCAGCCGCGGUAAUACGGAGGAUCCGAGCGUUAUCCGGAUUUAUUGGGUUUAAAGGGAGCGUAGAUGGGUUGUUAAGUCAGUUGUGAAAGUGUGCGGCUCAAACGUCAAAUUGCAAUUGAUACUGGCAGUCUUGAGUACAGUUGAGGUAGGCGGAAUUCGUGGUGUAGCGGUGAAAUGCUUAGAUAUCACGAAGAACCCCGAUGGCGAAGGCAGCUUACUGAACUGUGACUGACAUUGAUGCUCGAAAGUGUGGGUAUCGAACAGGAUUAGAUACCCGAGUAGUC